UAUGAACACAGGCAUUUAACUUGUUGUUGCUCACUUCACCACCAAUAUAAUUAAUAGACUCUAAGCGUUAAAUCAGCACAAGUUUUUGGAACUGGCGAAAUAAUUUUGAUAAAACUUUCAUGAAUUCAGUACUAAUAGAAUCAUAUUAAAUGAAGUUACCAUAAAAUGGCAAUGUCUCCAGGGAGAAAAAUAGGCUACAUACAAAUAAAGAAAUUUUAAGCCUAGGGCAUGUCUUUCAUCAUUUUGAAUGAAAGAAAUUAACAGAGAUUGCCUUCUAUCUUUUGAGAAGAAAUUUUUGUUACCCCCAAAAUCUCUAGCAAGCUAAGUUGUUAGUAAAACCCAUGUACACAUUGCUAAGUAUGCAGGAUCUGAGAGAGUAUGCAUCUUCCUGAAGAUAUAUUAACUCAACAGUGACCUGGCUGCCUGUGAUGAACCUUGGCUAGAAGAGAUAAAUGUUGUGUAGCUCACCAUAAGGACUUUUUCUUACACUUAUCCAUAAGCAGCAGGAAUAAUGAAGGACUAAAACUCCAAAGCUGUAGAAUAUGGAUGCAGCCAUAGUUGACAUACUCCAAAGUACACAUAAACUGUCCAGAACCCUAAUAAAAGAGCUUCAUGGGAAGAAGAAGAGAAGAAAAGCAGCAGAGAAAGCACUUGGCAAGAGGGCUCAGUCACAGCAGAUUUUAGAAGCACUACCAAAUGUACCCUUCGAAAGAUGAGAGGAACAACCAAAGAGAAAGGAUUGACUGUAAGGAGAAAAGUGACAUUUUGGUGAAUGAUAGACAAAUUGCAUAAAGAGAAACUCAUGUUGCUACUCCUAGAAAGAGGAAGAUCACUGUUUUGAGCAACAUACCUAAAACUUCCCUUCUUCAACAUAACAGUCCCAUUUUUUUCCAGUAAGAUAACAACAUUGUCUCAAUUGCAUUAUGACUACUUCUGCAGCCCAUUUAAACUUUUGUCGUUUUCUGUUCUCACUUGUCUGGGGAAAAGAUGGACUAUUUCUGCUAGGGUGAAUGAAGCACAGACUUCAUGUCAUUUCCUUCCAUAUCUAUAUCAUUAUGGGUGGCGGCAAGAGGAGAGCAAUUCAGCCUUUCUCCACUGAAACCCUUCUAUCACAUUGUGUGCAAAGCUCCAGGCAGACAGGCUGGAUGCUUGCAUGUUCUCCAAAGACUGCAGUCAUAAAACUGCUCCUGCAAGAUCAGGCCCUUGCUAAUUACAAUACUAACAUUAACUUUUUCAUUCAUGGUAGAUUUUCAUUCAUUUCUUAAGGCUAAUACUAAUUGCAACUUAAAAAAAAUAAUGCUAAAUAGGGCAAGCAAUCUGGGAACCCAAAUGGUAUAUUCCCCUCCUGAUACACAUUCUCUCAUUAGACACAUGAACAGAGGAGGGAAAAAAAAAUCUCUCUAAAGAGCUGGCACUGCAAAUUAUUUUUUUUAUAAAUUAUAUUUGUUCUGGGGUUAUUGAAUAUACUAUUUUUUUAUUUAUAAAAUGAGAGUUUGGGGAUAAUCGACUUGGUAAGCAGUCUCAAUGGAGAAUUUAAAAUGAGGGAAAACAUGGUGAAGAGGAAAUAAUAAGGGUAGUGAAGUACUAGAUCUUGAAAAGUAAUCUGGGAUAAACCAAAGGGACAUUUAAUAAACAUGAUCUUUGUUAAAUUUGCUUUGGAUCUAGCUAGCAAAAAUUCCAGAAAUAUUUUGCUAGUUAAGAAAAUAACUGCUUUCCUGAAAUGAUUUCCCUCUCUGGUCUGUUACUUUUCUUCUACCUGCAAUUAUCAUAUAAAAAUGUUAGCUAAAAUAAAAUAAAUUUAUCUUAAUUGGAUAAAAAGAAGGAUGCACUUUUAUUUCUUUAUUUAUUAAUUUGGCAAGAAUUUGUUGACAUGUCCAUCUAUAUAAGCAGUCAUUUCCUUGUUAGGAAAAUCAGAAUUCUCACUUGCCUGUAUUAUUAACCCCAGGGAUUUCUUGCCACAGGAUUUGUUUACAUUAUAAUUCAAAAUUGAAUUUUGGGCUUCUCCUUCCUAGAAAUGUUUUUCUGUCAUUAACAGAAGUCACAUUAGCAGUGCAUUUUUAUCAUAAAAUGGGCUAAGUUUGAAGGGAUUAGAUAGACUAGUAUAGGUGUUAAAUUCUGGGUUGGGUUCAAGUAAAUGUUAACUAAAUUGAGAUGGUAAGCAUGUGUUCUGUCCUUAACCCAAGGCUCAGUAGCACAUGCUACUGUGUAUAUGUGGCACCCAGAUGUGGGACUUUGUCUUUUCUGGUUAACCAGUGUAUUCAGAUUUUGAGGACAGUAUUUGGAGGCUGAGAGAACCCACAGUUUUCACAUAUGCAGAGGUGGGUUCCCUUAGCACUUAUACUCACCCAGGGUAACCUCAGCCCUCAGGACUUGAUUCAAAAUGUUUCUUUCCAUUCAGUAUCUAGUCACUUUCAGGUUUUCCACAGCUGGAGAAAACCCUAUUAUGUGCUCAGUCUGAUGAUUACUCAGGGCUCAGAUACAGAGAUACUGAUGUGGCAGGUCUUAAAGGGCCUUGUGCUCUACGUUGUCAGGUUUCUUUUACCAGUAAUUAAAAAUAUAUGCAUCAACAGAAAGGAGAGGGAAAUAGAAACAAUAGUACUCACUCUUACUGUUAAUAUGGACCUUACAAGAAUUGAAAACAUAAUCAAAUCACUGCUUUUAUCAUAUAAUAAAAUAUAGACCAUUAUUAAACCUACUCAGAAGUAAGUUGCUUGUCAAAUUAUAGGUUCUGAAAUAUGACCAAAUGCAGCAGAAGCCCAUAAAGACAAGCACUUAUUUGAUGCCUAGGAUUGCGGAAUGUCAAGUAAAUUAAAGGAAAAUAGACCUCAGAAGAAUAAAUAUGUCAGUUAAAACAUGAAUGUUCUUUUGCAAUCAGUCAAUUUCUAGUCUAGCCUAUCAAUGCUACCUUUUCCACUAGUCCUAAUUUUGGUUGCAGGAACUUCCACUGGAGUGCUACCUGUUUUUUGGAUUUCAUGCAAUAUUACUUCCUUUUUUAUUGCUGCUUCCAGCUAUUGCUAUCAAAUGAAAAUACAUGAACAGCAGCAGUGAAACAACCUUCUCAGGAAGAGGACAGCAGACGAGACCUUCUUUUUGUGUUCCAGGGAAGAGGCACUUAUCCCUGCAGUGUCAGCAUUCCUCUGGAAGAAUACCAUACACUCUCUAAAUACAUGUGAGGAUUGCGGUAAAGUGGACCAUAUUUGUAGCAAAAUAUAGGUACCCUAAAUCUAGUAAGGGAUUCACAUCAACAACAACACAAGCCUUCAUGGGAGAACUUUACUCAAAAAACCAUUCCAUAAGGCAUUGGACUUAGAUUUACAAGUGUGUUCUUCCAAAUUCUUCAAGAAACAGAUGUUUCCAUCUAGUUAAACUCUUUGAGAGGUUAUUCUGCGAAUUAAAACGUCACAUCAAAGCUAAACUGAUAAAAUAUAAGGAGUUCAAAAACACUCUGGCACAAUCUUACAUAUGAAUUAUUGUAAAAAAUAAAUAAAAUAUUAAUGAGUGUAAAGGCAUUUAUAGUAAAGUGAAUCACACGAUAAAAACACUAUUGGAGCUAAUAUUUUGUAACAUUUCUAAAGGAUCACACUAAUGACAUUAUUUAUGAAAAUAAAGAGUAG